GACGAACGCUGGCGGCGUGCCUAAUACAUGCAAGUAGAACGCACAGUUUAUACCGUAGCUUGCUACACCAUAGACUGUGAGUUGCGAACGGGUGAGUAACGCGUAGGUAACCUGCCUGGUAGCGGGGGAUAACUAUUGGAAACGAUAGCUAAUACCGCAUAAUAUUAAUUAUUGCAUGAUAAUUAAUUGAAAGGUGCAAUUGCACCACUACCAGAUGGACCUGCGUUGUAUUAGCUAGUAGGUGAGGUAACGGCUCACCUAGGCGACGAUACAUAGCCGACCUGAGAGGGUGAUCGGCCACACUGGGACUGAGACACGGCCCAGACUCCUACGGGAGGCAGCAGUAGGGAAUCUUCGGCAAUAGACGAAAGUCUGACCGAGCAACGCCGCGUGAGUGAAGAAGGUUUUCGGAUCGUAAAGCUCUGUUGUAAGAGAAGAACGGGUGUGAGAGUGGAAAGUUCACACUGUGACGGUAUCUUACCAGAAUGGGACGGCUAACUACGUG
rnacentral:rRNA from 1 species